rnacentral:rRNA from 1 species
UACGAAGGGGGCUAGCGUUGCUCGGAAUUACUGGGCGUAAAGGGCGCGUAGGCGGCACUGUUAGUCAGGCGUGAAAUUCCUGGGCUCAACCUGGGGACUGCGCUUGAUACGGCAGAGCUUGAGGGAUGGAAGAGGGUCGCGGAAUUCCCAGUGUAGAGGUGAAAAUUCGUAGAUAUUGGGGAAGAACACCGGUGGCGAAGGCGGCGACCUGGUCCAU